rnacentral:misc_RNA from 1 species
AAAGUCGUAACAAGGUUUCCGUAGGUGAACCUGCGGAAGGAUCAUUACCAAAAUCUAGCUGCUCCGGUUCAGGCCGGUUGCACGCUUCAACCCUUUGUGAAUCAAAAAACUUUACGCUUCGGCAGCUGGUUUUCAGCUGUAAGCCUGCCGAUGGCACCAAUUUAAACCUGUCGUUAAACACUGUCUGAACUAAACAUUUUCGAAUGAAAAUCAAAACUUUCAACAACGGAUCUCUUGGUUCUC